rnacentral:lncRNA from 1 species
CUCUGCUCGGCACCAGGGGGACACUGGAGAGGUACCCGCAUGAGGACGGGAGAGCAGUUUCGGCCCGCUCAGCACGAGGUGGCAAGCGCUGUCCAAAUGACAAGCAGGAAACUGGAGCGCUGGGAGCAUAAACCAAGGGAUACAAGGACAGCUGCCCACACAUCCCACCCUGGCCCAAGCCCAUGGGGUCUCAGAGGGGCGAGUUCCUGGGCUGUACUAGACCAAUGUUAAACCUGAUGUGUUUUAGACCGCAAUUCGGUUCCAACGUUGGAGUCCAGACGACACGUGAAGGUGAGCUGCUGCCACAGCAUGGCUACUGACAGAUGGAUUGUGUGGUUCGACACCCUGGAACCAAACCCAGGCCGCCAAAGUGGCCUGUCCCAAACUACAGGAAUGAGUGAGGCCUGAAAGAGACACCAGUUUUGAGAAUCCAGAGGCAGAGUCUGGGAUGCUGCCUUCUCCACCGGCCUUUGCUUGUGCCUCGCUACAGCCCACAAUCUGGAACGUGUCUGGAACAAUGAAUUUUAACUGAGAAAAUAUGAAUGUAUGCUAGCCUGGGAAACAGAACCAACACUGCUCUGUCUCUCGGGCUCUCUGUGCAUUAUAAGGGGACAUACAAAUAUGAGGAAUUUUUGCUGUUCAUAUGACCAACACAGGUAGGUAAAUCAUUUUCUUCCCCAGGACACAUGUUUCUGGGCCUGCCCACUCCCUGCAGCUUGCACCGUCGGUCACUAAGUAGUGAUACUAGUCACCAUUAUUCGAAGACCUGUUAUGCUCCAGGUACUACACUUAGUCCUUUACAAACGUCUCAUUUAAUCCUCACAGCAUCCUUGUUAAAUGAGUAUCACUGGCCCCAUUUGCUAGUCAGGGAAUCUGAGGUUUUGAGAGGCUGCCCAAGGUCACCUGGCUAAUAAACAGCAACAACAGGAUUUCAGCUCAGUCUUUGUCUCUCAUGCCCACGCCUUCCUCUCUUCACCGAGCUCGCUGUAGGGUACCCAGUCACAGAACGCAGAUCCUGCUCACACACCCACUGUUGAGGCCUCAACCCCCUCCUCUGUCUACGUCCAUCUCUGUUUUAAACUGUAAGCCAGACUAUAGAUGGCAGGAACUGCUUGUUGAAUUCAUCUCAUGGUGCUCAGCAUACUUCCAGGAAUAUACAGCAGAUUUCUUUCUAAGAAAAGUAAUGGGUCCAUGAGUUUCAAAUUGUGUCUGAAGGCAAGAGACCGGGUUUGAAACCAACACCAUCACUUACUAGCAAUGUAACUUUGCUGCUGUCAUUUCCUCUCUCUGGCCUCAGUCUCCUCAUCUGUAAAGUGAAAUACUAGCCGCGAUGGUCUCCUGGGUUCCUUCCAAACAUGACUUUCCAAGAGCCUACGGUGUCACGUGAUGCAGAGCGGAGAAUUCCUGAAAAAUGCCUGGUCUUCCCAAGUCAGUCCUUUUCAGACAGGACUGUACGUGCCAAAAUGUGCAGAGGUAUCCUAAAUUUUCACAAAGCAAGGUCUGCCUAUCCGUUCAUUAUUCUGUAUUCUUGAGCGUCUAGUCCAUUACUCUACCUGUGGGAAGAACUUGGUGACUCAUGACUAAGCUCCCUUCAAGCCAUGGUGAUGUGUGACAAGAGCGCUUGAUGGACACAGGUAGUGGGUCUGCUGUCUCAGAGGGCGUAGCAGGAGGCAAGUCUAUUGUCUCGAGCUGGGCGGUCACAGCUGCAGGGUGAGUCCCUGGACACCAGACUGGAAAGAGCCCUGGAUGUGACGUCCGGGGAUCUGGAUGUGAGUUCCAAGCCUGUCCCAGUCAGCUGUGUGAAUUUGGGCAAUGGACCUCACCGCUCCUAUCCUCAGUUUCAUCACCUUUACUGAGAGAAUUCUGUCUACUCAGCAUCUGUCAUGGGCUGUUGAGGAAGACGAAUCUCGAAGGACAUAGAUGCAAAAGUGCUUUGGGAACUGUCCAGCGCUCGAGAGACGGGUCAUCCUUUUACCUUCUGAUUAUCUCUGGAAUCCAUCCAUGUCGUCUCUAUCAGUGGCUCCUCAAACCAGCUUCCAGCUUCUCUCAUCUGGCCUCCUGCCCACGUCAGCCCUGCUUCCAGUCUCUUCAGUAGGCGUGCAGCCAGCGAGAUCACCUGACCCUGUACCCUGAGGACUGGAGGGAAAAGCGGGAUGGAGGGCUGAGGGGCUAAAGAAGCCCAGAGAAGCUCAUGGCGAAGGUUGGGUUUAAGACGGGACCUUGAAGAGCAAGCUGGAUGACAACGGAGAGAAGGAUGGGCUUCUGGACAGGGGGUCCGAUUGGGCUAAGACUGGGGUCAGGGCACAGCAGAGUGGGGAACGCGUGGUGGGGAGAAGGGGCCCAGCGUGGGGGUGAGCUGGCUGCACUCUGUCGGACAGCAGGCUGGGUGGUGGACUCAGGUGAAGCCAGACUUCAAAGUCUAGCCUGAGGGGAAGCAAUUUAAUUUAGACUAAAUGUGGAUAAUCUGAUGAAUCAUUGAUUUGCUCAGUGGAUCAUUUCAUAGCUCAGAAACGGAGGAAGCAGGGAAGAAAUGCGCUGCUCUGGACUUAACUCUGACCAGCCCCAGGGAACACUUGUUGGCAAUCGAGGGACUGGGACCCUUGGAGAAAGUGACUGUCAGGCUGGAGUGGGCACCGCAGGCGAGGGCACGGCAGCACGGCGGGCAUUAGUGCCAAGCCUGAGGAAGGGGCAUUUGAAAGCUCUGCUUGGGGACACAGAGAGGGCAGAGCCAGCUGCAGGCAGAGCCUCGGGAAUGGUGGUGGUGGUGGUGGCACAGGGGGCCGCCCGAGGCUGGCGGAUAAUGGAGGCUCUGAAAGCGGAAACCUGAGUGGCAGUCACAGAUGAUUUUAGAGGGAAGCGCUGCCUCUUCCCCACCACCACACACACUCACACUCUGCUCUCCACGUCUGUCAGGCAUCGAGGCGGUUAAUUCUCCCAGACACACCGCUGAGAGCGCCGGAGCCCUGUGGAGCUGAGACCGGGAUGGUGCUGCCAGGCUCAUUACAGGAUCCCAGAGGGAGUCUAUCAGGACAGGGUCCCCUCUCUCCCUCAGCCUCUGCAGGAGGCUCGUGCCUCUCUGCCUCCACUCCGACCCACCCUGGCAGGCCCACCCCUCGCCCGGCCCCGAGCCCCUGGAUCCCAGCCCCCUUCUGACUCUGUGCCAGGUCUCCGGCCAUGCCCACCCUCCUCGGGCCCCCCUUCGGCUUCCCGAUCUGAGCAAGGGCCAGUGCUCUGUGCUCUCUGGCGAAGAGGGCGGGGGGGGGGGCGAGGUGGCAGAGAAGUGGAGCCUGGAGAAAUCCCAAGCCAACCACACUGCCUCCCGCCAGCAUUCGACCAAAACAGCUCACCGGGAAGCAGCGGCGGUGCUCCCCGCCCUCCCACGCUCCGAGGGUCUUCUGCCCACUCAGGUGCCGCGCCUGGACAGGGUGGGCGUUUCAGGGGCGAAGGAAUGCGCGGGUGUGUGAGGACUUACCGAGCACUUGCCCCUGGCCAGGCCUUGCUCUGGCCACUCGGAUCUGCUCGUGAGAUGGAGCCGUGGGAGUGCCCGCACCAGUCAAGCCUCCAGCCCAGGGCAGCAGGCAACAAACAUCAUACCCGUGCAGAGGAUGCGGCAUACCAGAGGGUGGCAAGCAUCACAGGGAGAAACAGAGCCGCAUAUGGUUCCCCAAAGCUCUUGACUCUGCCUGAUGGAAAGCUCUUAGAAUCUCCAGAAGAGGCCCUGCUGCCUCAUUCUCCACUGCCUUGGCCUA